GCUCAGAGCAUGUAUCUGUCCUCAUCCAUUUCUUUUCUUUUCCGUUUAUAAAUCCAAUUUCGCUCGGAAAAUUUACAUCGCUCUCGUUCUGGUCCCGCCACCGAACUCCAUUCUCCAGACUCUUCUGUUUCAUUUUCAGUUUUCUCGGUCUUUCAGCUCGCAAGCCAUUAACUACAGUUAAAUCAGAGCUUGUACUUUGUGAAAAUGGCAACGGCAACUGUGCCAACUUCUUUUCCGGGCCUGAAGAGUGGGGACUCCAGCAUAGGUUUCGCUAAGAGUAUGGAUUUUGUGAGAGUGUGUGAUUUGAAGAGAGUUCAAUAUGGAAGAAAAAGAAUUUCAGUUAUUCGGAAUUCAAAUCCCAGCUCAGAUAUUGCUGAACUUCAGCCUGUGUCAGAAGGGGGCCCGCUGUUAGUUCCUAGACAAAAGUACUGUGAAUCCUUACACAAAACUGUCAGGAGGAAAACGCGGACAGUGAUGGUUGGAAAUGUGGCUCUUGGCAGUGAGCAUCCUAUAAGAAUCCAAACAAUGACUACAACAGACACAAAGGACGUAGAUGCAACCGUUGAACAGGUGAUGAAAAUAGCAGAUAAAGGUGCAGAUAUUGUGCGAAUAACUGUUCAAGGGAGGAAAGAAGCUGAUGCAUGUUUUGAAAUAAAAAACUCCCUUGUCCAGAAAAACUAUAAUAUACCUCUAGUUGCAGAUAUUCAUUUUGCCCCUUCAGUGGCAUUGCGGGUUGCUGAAUGCUUUGACAAAAUCCGAGUCAACCCAGGAAAUUUUGCUGAUAGACGAGCACAGUUUGAGAAGCUAGAAUACACAGAAGAGGAUUACCAGAAAGAACUUGAACAUAUUGAGCAGGUGUUUACCCCGUUGGUUGAGAAAUGUAAAAACUAUGGAAGAGCAAUGAGAAUCGGGACUAAUCAUGGGAGUCUUUCAGACCGUAUAAUGAGCUACUAUGGGGAUUCUCCAAGAGGAAUGGUUGAAUCUGCAUUUGAGUUUGCAAGGAUAUGCAGGAAGUUGGACUACCAUAACUUUGUCUUCUCAAUGAAAGCAAGCAAUCCAGUUAUCAUGGUCCAGGCGUACCGUUUGCUUGUGGCUGAAAUGUAUGUUCAAGGCUGGGAUUAUCCUUUACAUUUAGGUGUUACUGAAGCUGGAGAGGGUGAGGAUGGACGUAUGAAAUCUGCAAUUGGCAUUGGGACCCUUCUUCAGGAUGGUCUGGGUGAUACAAUUAGAGUUUCUCUUACAGAACCACCGGAGGAGGAGAUAGAUCCUUGCAGACGAUUGGCUAACCUUGGUAUGAAAGCUGCUGAACUUCAGAAAGGAGUGGCACCAUUUGAAGAAAAGCACAGACAUUAUUUUGAUUUCCAGCGCCGGUCUGGUCAACUGCCAUUACAGAAAGAGGGUGAGGAAGUGGAUUAUAGGGGUGUCCUGCAUCGUGAUGGCUCUGUUCUUAUGUCAGUUUCACUGGAUCAGUUAAAAGCACCAGAACUCCUGUACAAGUCACUUGCAGCAAAGCUUGUUGUUGGCAUGCCAUUUAAGGAUCUGGCCACAGUGGACUCAAUAUUAUUGAGAGAGCUUCCCCCAGUGGAUGACAAUGAUGCACGGCUGGCUCUCAAAAGACUGAUAGAUGUGAGUAUGGGGGUUAUAACUCCUUUGUCAGAGCAGCUAACAAAGCCAUUGCCGAAUGCCUUGGUUUUGGUAAAUCUUAAGGAAUUAUCAACUGGUGCUUACAAGCUUUUGCCAGAAGGUUCACGCAUGGUGGUGUCAGUACGUGGUGAUGAAUCCCAUGAAGAGCUGGAAAUCCUCAAAGAUGUUGAUGCUAUAAUGCUUCUUCAUGAUCUACCCUUUACAGAAGAAAAAAUUAGCAGAGUGCAUUCAGCUAGGAGGUUAUUUGAAUAUCUGGCUGAUAAUUCUCUGAACUUUCCUGUUAUUCAUCAUAUUCAGUUUCCAAAGGGGAUACACAGGGACGAUUUAGUCAUUGGCGCUGGCACAAAUGCUGGAGCCCUUCUAGUAGAUGGACUUGGAGAUGGUGUCUUGUUGGAAGCGCCGGACCAGGAUUUUGAUUUCCUCAGGAAUACUUCUUUCAAUUUACUACAAGGCUGUAGAAUGCGGAAUACAAAGACGGAGUAUGUCUCUUGCCCAUCCUGUGGCAGAACUUUGUUUGACCUACAAGAAAUAAGUGCCGAAAUAAGAGAAAAGACAUCUCACUUGCCUGGCGUUUCAAUUGCAAUCAUGGGUUGCAUUGUCAAUGGACCAGGAGAGAUGGCCGAUGCAGAUUUUGGGUAUGUUGGUGGUGCUCCUGGAAAAAUUGACCUCUAUGUUGGGAAGACGGUUGUGAAGCGUGGGAUUGAAAUGGAGCACGCAACUGAUGCGUUGAUUCAACUGAUAAAAGAUCAUGGCCGUUGGGUGGACCCUCCUGCAGAAGAGUAAGAUCAGGCAGUUUUAGUUGGAAGAUGAGCAGAGAAAACAUUGCAUGGGAGGUCAACUUUCGUCAUGUUGUAGAUUGGAGUCUCCCAGGUAGGAACGAAGAUAUCAUGUGGAUCACCUCUCAAAUUCUCUCUCUAAUUAGAAGAAACCAAGCUAGCCCACUUUCUCUGUUCCUUUUACUAUCAGGAACUCAUUUGGUACAAUUUCCUUAUCCCGAUGUUCACAUCCAACCCUCUCUAUUUUCUCAUUUGCACUUCGUGUUUUCGCAAGAAUAACAUAGAGAUCAGAAUUCACGUGUGAAACACGAAAAUUCCAAAAUACAGUUUCAUAUUACCGAUGA